rnacentral:rRNA from 1 species
UACAGAGGGUGCAAGCGUUUGUUCGGAAUUAUUGGGCGUAAAGCGCGUGUAGGCGGCUUUGCAAGUCGGGUGUGAAAUCCCUCAGCUCAACUGAGGAAGUGCGCCCGAAACUGCAGAGCUUGAGUACCGGAGAGGAUGGUGGAAUUCCCCAAGUAGAGGUGAAAUUCGUAGAUAUGGGGAGGAACACCGGUGGCGAAGGCGACCAUCUGGACGGAUACUGACGCUGAGACGCGAAAAGCGUGGGGAGCAAACAGG